UAAGACGAACCGGCCAAACGUUAUUCGGAAUCAUUGGGCUUAAAGGGUGCGUAGGCGGCGCGGUCAGUUGGGUGUGAAAUCCCUCGGCUCAACCGAGGAACUGCGCCCAAUACUGCCGUGCUCGAGGGAGACAGAGGCGAGCGGAACUGAUGGUGGAGCGGUGAAAUGCGUUGAUAUCAUCAGGAACACCAGUGGCGAAAGCGGCUCGCUGGGUCUCUUCUGACGCUGAGGCACGAAAGCUAGGGUAGCGAACAGGAUUAGAUACCCUGGUAGUCCUAGCUGUAAACGAUGAGCACUUGAUUGAGGACCCCCCCAUAGGUUCUCGGUCGAAGCGAAAGUGAUAAGUGCUCCGCCUGGGGAGUAUGGUCGCAAGGCUG
rnacentral:rRNA from 1 species